rnacentral:rRNA from 1 species
UCGCCUCUUGCUCUCCUAUAAGAGGUCCAGCCUGCCCAGUGACUUAGUUCAACGGCCGCGGUACCCUAACCGUGCGAAGGUAGCGUAAUCACUUGUCUUCUAAAUAGAGACUAGUAUGAAAGGCAUCACGAGAAUUUAACUGUCUCCUUUUUCCAAUCAGUGAAACUAAUCUUCCCGUGAAGAAGCGGGAAUCCAAAAAUAAGACGAGAAGACCCUAUGGAGCUUUAAACACUAACCACCUGCCCAAUCUAAUAAAACCCCGGUUCCUAAACCAACGCAUCAUGACUACGUGUUUUUGAUUGGGGCGACCACGGAAAAUAAUCAAACCUCCGUAAUGAAAACCUACAAGCCACAGCUUUAAGUAUCAACAAAUUGACAUCCAUUGACCCAAUAUAUUGACUAAUGAACCAA